AUGGAGUUCCAACUAAAAAUAGAGAGCGGCGAUACAAGCAGCCAACGGUCAGCGCUCCCAAUGACAGCAUUAAUAACCGCAGCCGCUUCAGAAAGGUUUGAUACUGAUGGCAAAAUUCCAGUCAGUGGUUGCAAACAGAAUCUCCACACAGUCAUACUUGAGCUGCUGAGGAACCCACAUUACUGGGAGUGCAGGAGGUAAAUCUGGAAUCCAUCUGUCUUCAGAGACACAGCAUUUAUUCACAUAACAGCCAGGUCCUGCCUCACCUUAUCCCCAAUCAAUCAUGGUUAAUACCCAACAUCUAAAAUAAUACUAUAAAAAUAGUAAAAUAGAAUAAAAAUAAUAAAGUAAUACUAUAAAAAUAACCUGCUACAGUCUGUGUGACCAUGGAAUCUGGGUGGCCGUGGAGUCUGCAGCCUUUGUAGUGUGAUCACUCUUUCAGAGUAAAUUGGGUGUACAGAGAAAAUAUUACAAAACACGAUGGUCUGUUAACACAUGCCUGUUACAUUCAUUCAUAUCUUAACAGACAAAGCUCACCUCCACCACUAAAAGCAUCAUCAAGUCACAUGCUGUAAGACUAGAAGACUUAGAAAUCAUAGAAAUAGUAUCAGAAUGAAUAUGGGCUGCUGUUUGGACUAGAUGACCGUAGUGGGCUUUUCCAACCUUUAUGAUUCCACGAUUCAGAACAAACUGAUGGUAAGAUGCCACCCUUAACUAUGCUAUAGAUGAGAUCACAGAUAAAGGUUGUUCCUUUCACAUUUGCAGCAUGAAAAAAAUUUCUUUAACUUUUGAAAGGUACUUAAGAUACAGCCUGUUGUAAGCAGACGUGAAGCCACACUCAACUAGUUACUGCCUGAUUAAUUUUGGUGGGCAAUUCAGAUGCCAGGCAAGACUUGCUCUGUCCUGGCAAGAUGGAAGUCUUUCUUGUACGCAAUGGGAAAGGCCCCACGAUACAGCUCAGAGCCAUGACUAUUUAGAUAUUAAAACAGUGGAUGACAAAACUGAUCCCGAAAACAAUCUGUUACAUGAACUCUGCCUGCUGAAAGCACUUGGAGUGGUUCUUGAUGGGAUUAUGUUGAGUGCUCCUGGCAGCUGCCAAGGAAAGUAUGUGGAAGGUAAGGGAGGAA
rnacentral:lncRNA from 1 species